GGUUGCGCAGCCCGGUGUACCUUGUCGUUCUGAGAUUAUACGGUUGAACUUGAUCUGGAUAAUUCCAGCGAAAGAACUCAUGCGUGCUUUCCUUUU
rnacentral:ncRNA from 1 species